rnacentral:pre_miRNA from 1 species
AGUAAAAUUGCUGGGUCAUAUGGUAGUUCUAUUUUUAGUUUUUUGAGGAACCACCAGAAUUUUCCAAAAUGGCUGUACCAUUUUGAAUUCCCACCAGUAAU